AACCAUCAGCAUAAACCGCAACAGUAAAGAUAAGGGAGAAAAACAGCCUGCCUAGGAACAACGAUGAGACCCAGCUUUUUCCAGACUUGCUUUCAUCAAGUGACUUAGGGAGAAGAAUUUGACCUUUCACGGCAUUAUUAAUACUGCAGCAUGAUAAUCUUGAACAAUUAAUACUUUUGAAGAAGGAUAUAACGGCUUCAUACAUGACUUGCAGAAGAAGACUGCACUGUGGCGGACAUCUGCAGUGAAUAUUUCAAAUACUGCAAACCAAGUUCAGCAAAAAAGCAUUCUGAACCUUCACACCAACUUCUUACCAGACUCAACGGGGAGCCAUCUCUCCCUAGAGAUUCAGCAAUUUUCGGAGCCCCCAUGCAGCGACAAAGUGAGUGCCAGUGAUGAAUGGAAGUGACGUCAGCAAUGACCUAGGAAGGGGGAGAAAGCGCAGCCCUUGACAGUCGUGGUGGCAUGAUGUGGACAGACAGCAGCAUCAGGAGAGCCGCAGGCAAACAAGGUCCUGGCUCUGCACUUGACCUGGUGUGAUAGCCAGCACUGCUCCAGGUCCUGCCGGGUGCUCCCACUGCUCCCGUGCGCCCUUGGCAAACAGGCCUGGACUGCCACAGCCGCUGAGACAGGACCCUGAAUGGACUACACACCUCUGAAAGCUGUCCUAGAGGGCUUUCCCCAAAACUCAUCCUGUUAAAGAGGAGGAGGGCCAUCAGCCACAUGAAACAGUAACCGAGGAACUGAAAGAGACUUUUGAAACAGUCAGGGAAUCAGCUUGAAAAGAAGUAAAAAAGAAGCAUGAGAAUUCAUCAUACUGGGGAGAAACCUUGAAAUGGAAACAGCAGCAGUCAAAACCAGGUCUGGCACUGCCAGAAGUUGCCCCACAUCAUCACAAGCUCUGCCGAGGCCACACGGAGCAGCCUCCCCGUGGGACAACACGUGGUCCUGAAGAAGCUCUCAGAUGGAAAUAGUUGAUACUGCUACUGUCAAAGGAGAAACUGGAAAUCUAUAACAAAGCUCAUCUUGCUAUAGCUAGAUAAACAAACUGAAGAGAUGAACACAAAUCCUUUCUUUGGGUAUCUAUUUCUGCAUCAGGAGCCAAUAUUUCUCUCUAGGAUUCCAUCUCUAAACAAUGAAACCCGUUGUAAUAUAAUGAAUGGCUCAGUAUUUCUCUUCUAAUCUUCUGAGUUACCAUUACUAUAUUAGCUAAUGUUUAUACCCUGUUUUUUUUUUCUUUAUCAAGCCUUAUUUAAAAGAAAAGAAAAAGGAAUUUUGACAGCUUACAUGCACUGUCCAGUCACCUUUGUAUUUUAUGAAAAUCUGAAAAUCUGAAAAUCCAUUAGUAAAUUUGGAAAACACA